AUUGAACGCUGGCGGCAUGCUUUACACAUGCAAGUCGAACGGCAGCGCGGGCUUCGGCCUGGCGGCGAGUGGCGAACGGGAGAGUAAUACAUCGGAACGUGCCCAGUAGUGGGGGAUAGCUCGGCGAAAGCCGGAUUAAUACCGCAUACGACCUGAGGGUGAAAGCGGGGGAUCUUCGGACCUCGCGCUAUUGGAGCGGCCGAUGGCAGAUUAGCUAGUUGGUGGGGUAAAGGCCUACCAAGGCGACGAUCUGUAGCUGGUCUGAGAGGACGACCAGCCACACUGGGACUGAGACACGGCCCAGACUCCUACGGGAGGCAGCAGUGGGGAAUUUUGGACAAUGGGCGAAAGCCUGAUCCAGCAAUGCCGCGUGUGUGAUGAAGGCCUUCGGGUUGUAAAGCACUUUUGGCGGGAACGAAAAGGACUGUGCCAAUACCACGGUUCGAUGACGGUACCCGCAGAAUAAGCACCGGCUAACUACGUG
rnacentral:rRNA from 1 species